rnacentral:rRNA from 1 species
GACGAACGCUGGCGGCGUGCUUAACACAUGCAAGUCGAACGGACAGACAGGGAGCUUGCUCCCUUGAAGUUAGUGGCGAACGGGUGAGUAACGCGUAAUCAACCUGCCCUUCAGAGGGGGAUAACAACGGGAAACCGUUGCUAAUACCGCGUACGAUUCAUAGACGGCAUCGUUUGUGAAUGAAAGGUGGCCUCUAUUUAUAAGCUAUCGCUGAAGGAGGGGAUUGCGUCUGAUUAGCUAGUUGGAGGGGUAACGGCCCACCAAGGCAAUGAUCAGUAGCCGGUCUGAGAGGAUGAACGGCCACAUUGGGACUGAGACACGGCCCAAACUCCUACGGGAGGCAGCAGUGGGGAAUCUUCCGCAAUGGACGAAAGUCUGACGGAGCAACGCCGCGUGAGUGAUGAAGGUCUUCGGAUUGUAAAGCUCUGUUAAUCGGGACGAAAGAGUUCUGUGUGAAUAAUGCAGAAAAGUGACG